rnacentral:sRNA from 1 species
CUUGCAGGGCAAGGCAGGGUUCACUGCAGAGGUCAGAGAUACUGUAGAGCCUCCCCAGUAACUCCCCGCGGCCUGCAAUUCCUCACCCUGAUGCUUUGCCUUUUCCAGUGGUUUACGGACCCAGACAUCCCACUAUGCAAAACCUUCUGCAUGAUAGAAUCACAGGUUGCUACUCCAAGUCUGCUUUCUGUUUAGAAUGGACCUUAAAUUUCCAAUCAUGGUGUCAUUUCUCCAGAAGACACUCGAAAGGGGGACCAGGGGACCUUCUUCAGAAGGACUUGACUGGUGAAGGAUGUCACUAUAGUGGACUCCAUGGAAAUUGCCUGAGACUCCUAGCCUUCUGGCUACUGAGGUGGUGUUUAAAUGGAUCAAAUGGACCAAACUCCCAUCCUCCUGAUAGCCAACUAUGAGGUUAAACAUAAUGGUGAAUUUCUGGAGGUUCCACUGCCUGUGGGAUCUCUGGGUCAAGAGUGGAGAGGAUCUAGGAAAAACACCUCAUGACCAAUAGAACUACCCACGGUGGGAUACCUCUGAAGAACUCUACCUGGGAGCUCUGUGAAACCAGGAAGCAAAAUUUCUUUUCUGCAUGGCUCUGGAGUUGCAAGUGAAUGUUUGGUUCUCAAGUGAUAGAGGGGACUCCUAUUCUAAGGGUCUUUUAGGACUUCUGCAGCUACCUAGGAGAGUGUGGGCACCAGGGCCACCGAUCCACAGCUAUAACUAGACACCCAAGGUUGUCUCUUAGAAAUUAGUCUCUUCUUCUCGUUAUUAUACAGACGAAAAGAAAGAUUUUAAUGGUCUUGUUGUUUUAAAGUUCUAUGUUGUGUGUUAAUGUUUUUUGGUAUGUCUUAUUAAAAGUACAAGUGCUUAUUUAGAGAAAAUAAAAUGAUAUGAAAUGCACAGUUAAACUCACAAGAGUCCCAAGCUUUAGAAUGUCAUAGGCUGGCAUCAGUCUACAUAGAAUCUGUAGAGUAGAUGGGGCCAUGUGACAAGCAAGCUAUGACCAGUGGCUGUCAUGAUACCCCUUCUAAACCUGGGGAUACUCUCCUUACUAUCUAUGCAACCAUGCUGAGUCUCUCUACUGAACCAUUUUGAGUUAUCUAGUGAAAACUGGAUCUAGGUAUAAAUAUGUGUUGAGUUUCCAUGCUCUAUUAUGACUUUUCUCUCUCCACAUAAAUGAUCUCUUACCAUUGGUCCAGUCUGGGUCUUUAGUUGACUUUCAGAUACGGUGUGACUCACUUAUGGAUGAGGUCAUCCAUUUCAUAGCUUAAACACCACCUAGUUACUGAUGGCUUCCCUAGUCCAGAUAUCUGAGCUUUUGCUUCUAAUUCAGUAUCCCCAUCAACAGGUCUCUCAAGAUUGGGAUCUUCAUGGCUGAUCCCAUUCAGCUGACCUGUUCUCCCUGAGAUCAUUCUCAACUUGACCAAUGGCAACUCCAUUCUUCCCUUCAAUCAGGCCCAAACCUUUGGUUUCAUGAUCAUGUCUUUUAUUAUUCAUGUGCAAUCCAAAUAGUCUGCCUCACUUUCAAGAGCAUCCAUCCAGUGUCUAGCCAUCUCUUGCUGCUACUGUUUCCACACCUAUACCAGCCCUGUGACCCUCUGUCUUAAUCAGGAUUCUCUAGAGUCACAGAACUUAUGGGUAGUCUCUAUAUAGUAAGAGAAUUGAUUGAUGACUUACAGUGUAUAGUCCAACUCCCCAACAAGGAUCAGCAGCAGUCCAAGGAUGUGGUGGCGGCUCAGCCUACAAGGCAGGC